rnacentral:lncRNA from 1 species
UAACACCACAGCCCUCACUUCUGAGCUGGAAAGGCCAGAACAUCCUUCUAACAAGUGGAACACAACCCGGCAGCAGUCGCAGUAUAAAGGUCUCUCCUCACCAUCAAUGGAGUGAUUGCAUAUUGCACACAAAUCUAAAGGCAUGGUUAACCUCACUUUAUGAAAUCACAAUGUACAAAACCAUCAGUUAUUUAUUCAUUCACUAACAAUUACUUCCAGACAGCUUUUCUAACUUCAGUAUCCACUAUUGGUUCAUUUUAUUUAACUAAAACUCAAAAUUAACAUGGAGCAAAAAUAAACAACAACCCAUUCAACAUAACCUCACU